UCAUUGACAAAUAACGGAAAA
rnacentral:piRNA from 1 species